rnacentral:rRNA from 1 species
AACGAACGCUGGCGGCAUGCCUAACACAUGCAAGUCGAACGCCCUCUUCGGAGGGAGUGGCGCACGGGUGCGUAACGCGUGGGAACCUGCCCUUAGGUUCGGAAUAACUCAGAGAAAUUUGAGCUAAUACCGGAUAAUGUCUUCGGACCAAAGAUUUAUCGCCUUUGGAUGGGCCCGCGUUGGAUUAGCUAGUUGGUGGGGUAAAGGCCUACCAAGGCGACGAUCCAUAGCUGGUCUGAGAGGAUGAUCAGCCACACUGGGACUGAGACACGGCCCAGACUCCUACGGGAGGCAGCAGUGGGGAAUAUUGGACAAUGGGCGAAAGCCUGAUCCAGCAAUGCCGCGUGAGUGAUGAAGGCCUUAGGGUUGUAAAGCUCUUUUACUGGGGAUGAUAAUGACAGUACCCAGAGAAUAAGCUCCGGCUAACUCCGUGCCAGCAGCCGCGGUAAAGUGACUACUG